AUUGCCUCAUUUGACAAGGAUCUGGAGACAGCAGCUCGCUUUGGAUCCCAGAGAUGAUUCCAGAUGGAAAGAAGGAAGGAAAGGAGGGAAGAAGAACACAUUUAUAGAAACCAUGGAUUAUUUUUAAGUGCCUUAAAAUAUGGAUUCUGCAUCAGCAGUUGUGGGAAGAGGCAGGACUCUGUAUUUCUAACAAGACCACAGGUGAUGCUGACACUCAUGGUCCUCAGACCACACUGAAUGAUGAGGCCUUUCAACUCAGAAUCCAGACUUAAGAUCAAAUAAGGAUCUUAUGGCUGAAAAGCUUCCAGGUACACUUCUCUGAGUAACCAGUACACUGGGGAAAAAGUGGAAACCAGGACUGUUCCAGGCAAGCCUAGCUGUUGGGGACCCUCCCAUACCAUGCGGCUGGCCAGCCUCUCCUGCAUAUAGCGUCCACCCCUAAUGAGAUCCUGGAAGAGCAUUGCCUGCUUGCCUUGUACACCCUCCUCAGUACUCAGGCAACCACGUUUCCUAGAGAUUAUCUCAAGAAAACCUCGAGGGACUUGUCAUCAGGUCUCAUGUCCAGGUGCAGAUCCCCUAGUUAUGGCCCCGAACAGAUACAUCCUCCUGCAAACAGGCUUUUGACGUGUACUAAGGAAGCUUUGGCAAUUUAUAUCACCCCCAGUAGUAUGGAUAUUAAAGGAUGUUAAUAUAUCAUUUAAUGUUAAUGUUGUCAGAAGCAGAAGGUGGAGCCAGCAAGCAAUUCAGCAGACAAGGGAAAUCAGCACCAUGAGCUCGCAUCCACAGCUGUUGCUGUCCCUGUGUCCUUGGGAAGAGCUACCUGAUGGAAGAAGGUCUCAUUUGAGUUUCUGCCCUGUUUUCUUCAUUUCAUCAAGUGUAGCUCUCCAUCUAUGAAAGCCAGCAACCCUCAGCUUGGCCACGCUGUGGGCACAAAGUCACACCAGCUGUAAAACCCACCUCUCACUGAAGAAAAAGCCCCUGGUGCUCAAACAGGAAGUCCAGUCUCUGCAGCUGCCUUAGAAGACUUUGUUCUGGGAGCCCCGUCUUCCCCAGAGGCAUCUGGCAAGAGUUCGCAAACCCCCCUGCCAGAAGCAUCACUGUGGGUAUCUGCUCUUUGCGCUUCCCACUGCUCUUCUGGGAAACUCUGCUUAAAAGCCACCCACGGAAGCUUCGCAGUUUUUCCUGUUGCCAAUGCUAACCAAGAAAAAUCGAGUCUAAGCAGGGGCUGCCUGCCGAAGCCGCCUAGGCUGUUGCUUGUCCAGGGGCCAGCGUGGAGCCAGGUUCCAUGCAGAAGUGGGGAGAAAGGCUGUUUCCUCCGCCCUCUGCGCUGCUCUCCCAGGGGAAGCAGGGACUCUGGCUCACCAAUUCUGCAAGAAGCCACUUUAACUCUCAGUCUGCUCUGGCCAGCUUCCCCGCUUCAUGGUGCGGAUGCAGUGGCAGCCCGUCGAGUUCAUUCGCUACAGGAAAGGGGAUGGUAAAUGGACUGUUAAGAGGAAGCCGGUCCUGGCAGGGUGCUUUUGAUGGGCAAAAGGACAUGAUGACAGGCGCCGACGAAGCAUUCCUCUCCACCUUGUGGGAAAGAGCACAAGCCUGGAACAGGUGCAGUCACACACACACACACACACACACACACACACACACACACACACACACACACACACACACACUGGAACUUGUAACUGCUUACUCAUCUCAAAUAACUUAAAGCAUGUCAUCACCACUCGAGGCCACAGGAAUGAAUCCUGCCACAGAGUGGAGAUCUGUUUUCUUCCUUAAAGCCCUCAGAGUGUUCUGCUUCAAUUCCCUGCAUGGGAUGUAGAUAUAUUAAAUACCAAAAAAAAAUGACCAUAAAGUGAACAUUAUGGUUGAGAAAUGAGGUCCAAGGAUGCCAAGAAAUUCAAAACUGAGUGUUCCCCCAGCAGCUCUAACUCAGCCAUUUUUGCACUAAUGCGUCCUUUCCCAUUUCGGAAUCCUCGGUGGAACACCCAUUUCAUAUGGACUCUGGAUCCUUCAGUUGAGCCAGGGGAGGAAUGCCUGGAGUCCCUCUGUUCCUUCUCACUUCCUCAGGUCGUGGGAAAAACCCCCUCUCAGACCCUUCCACGGAGCCCUUGAACGGGGCCAGGCAUGGCACAGCAUGCUCUAGAGCCUGGAGCGGGGGCAGGGAGGGGGCAGCCCAGCCCCAGGAAGCUGGACCAGUUCCCUUCCCCAGCCGCUCCCUGAGAGCCAAGAGGCUAGUCCUGGCUCCACACAGCAACUGUAUCCAUGCUGAUAUGCGGGAUGCAUUAGUGGUUCCACACAACUGAUGUGCUCAGGCACCUCCAGGGUACAUUAGUGGAAGAGGCUUCAGCAGCUGGUGGCUCCUCUUCAGGCAUAAUUUAUCUAUUGCACUUUACUUAAUGUGCAAAAUUAAAUUUAUGCUGAAUCCAUGUGUAUUACCUACUGUGCAUGAGCAGCAUGAAAUAUACCAUAAAGCAAAUCAGCACAGAGCCAUGCUCUUAAUUGCUAAUGGCUUUCAACACACUUCAUUGUGGUCUAACCAAACUUGGACUCUGCUCUACACUAAGAAUCCUGCUCGUAUCAAGGUUGAAAAUGCUUCUCCCAGAGAACUUCUGGAGAACCGAAGGACCAAACAGAAAUGCUUUUGAGCCAGUCUUUCUAGAGCCUGUGUCUUUUAGAGCACAGAUUCUGUGCUUUGCACUAAUGUGAUCGAUACAGUUGCUACAUAGGACAUGAUUUUGCUGAAAAUGAACAAAUCAAUGUCAACUUUUUAAAAGUGGAAUAUAAGAAAUAACCCCAGGAUUCAGUCCAAGUUCUGCCAAUUUGGGUUUCUGGUUCCAUAUAGUAAAACAUAGGGAUUAGAAUGGUUGAUUUCCACCC
rnacentral:lncRNA from 1 species